rnacentral:snRNA from 1 species
AUACCUUUCUAGGCCUUUUGGCUAAAAUGAAGUGUAAUAUUUGUUCUUAUUAGUUUAGUAUCUGAUAUGUGGACCAUAUGUUCACUUCGAUAGUAAAUUUAUUUUUUAGGAUAUGAAAUAUGAUUGUGUGUCAUCGCAACGCACGGGCAUUGUACUAGUGUAUGUUUAUUUGUGAGUUGA